UUACGGCCAUAUCACGUUGAAACACCGGUUAUCGUACGAUCACAGAAGUUAAGCAACGUUAAAUCUGGUUAGUGCCGAGACGAGUGACCUUUUGGUAAUAGCAGGUGCUGUAAG